ensembl:lncRNA
CCUUUGCUCAGACAUACUCGCAGAUUUCGUCGUCUCAGAAUAUUUCACCUCCACAUCCAACACUGACAUUGCGUUUCUUCCAGAUGGCGGUCUCCAAGAUGCGGUCCGCCUGGGCGGCUCUCUGCACCGCCGUGCUAGUGAUGUCAGGCUCUGCUGAAGGUGCUAGUUUGGUGACGUUAAAAGCGGCGAACACAGAACCGUCAUACUCUUAUGACUUAACCAUGGACGUCACCAACCGCAUCUACAGUGAUUCUCUCCUCAACCCUAACUCUCACGACUAUAAUAUGAUGUUUGGGGAAGUUAGCAGUGCGCUCUACUCUGUCUACGGCUGCCCCACUUGCGACACACGCACAUUUUAUCAAGGUGUAACAGCCAUGACCUUCAGUGACAAGGCUGGAUCUGUGGUUGUUCAGGCCACCAUCAUGUUCUACUCAGACCAAACCAAUGCCAUGGUGAUCAAGUACCUAUUUCUGCAGGCCGUCAAUAGCAGAAAUGAAAUAAAUGGCCUGAGAAUCAACCCUGGAUUCACACAGGUGUCUUCACAAUCCACAAGCGUUUCCCAUCCAACCACCACUCCAACCACCACUCCAACCACCACUCCAACCACCACUCCAACCACCACUCCAACCACUACUCCAACCACUACUCCAACCACUACUCCAACCACUACUCGUCUAAUAACAUGUGACCCAUAUUUAACCAAUCAUGAUGUCAUUCAGAUAAUUAUGUCAUGUUUUAUCACUCCAACCCCUACUCCAACCACUACUCCAACCACUACUCCAACCCCUACUCCAACCACUACUCCAACCACUACUCCAACCACUACUUCAACCACUACUACAACCACUACUCCAACCACUACUCCAACUACUCGUACCACCACUCCUACAACAACUACAACCACUACUCUAGUCUAUUAAAACAGGGUGAACCCAUUCCUUUAACCGAUCUCCUGCCAUUACUAAAACUACUUAAUCAGAUUGUUUAAAAAAGAAAAAGAAAAAAGAAACAGAUUGCAUGUAGUUAAUCAUAUGACAUGAUAUUAAAUUCAUAUUAAAACAGACGACACAUGAAACCCUUGAAAGGCUCGAUUAAAGUAUAAUAUUCUAUCUGUAAAGAGCAACCUUUUUUUCACACCUCCUGUGUUCAAACACCAUCUGAGUCACCGUCCAAUGGGCAAUCUGUAUUUUCUCUCCCAUUACCAUGGUAGAAAUGGGAUUUAGAAAUGUUCUGUUUUCUGAAGACUAUACUUCAUAGCCUACCCAUUAACCUCCUACAACUACCUCACCUCUCAAUCACAAUACAUUUACAGAGUGGGAAUGAAAUAGUCCCUGCCCACAAGAUGUCAUGUGACCACAUGUCAAAAGGACAAUGUUAAAAUCACUUUUGUUUGUUCAGAAAUGACUUAAAUAUCUGAUAAUCACCUGACAUCUUAAGAGCAUGUGUUUGUUACUCAUUAACAAACUUUAACAUCGAUCAUUGCUCUUGUAUUUCUUAUAUGAUUCAAGAACCUAUGUUGUAAACCUGCCUUCACAAUUUUUACACCAUUCUUCCUCUAUUCAGUAUCUUUCUUCUUUCUUUUUUCUUUUCAUUAAUGUCAUUUUCAGUUAAUCAUUAGAGGAAUAGAUGCAGAUUUGUCUACAAUGUCUCAAUGCCUGUUGUAAACAGCACAAAACUAAUAAAAUGGGAUUAUACAAG